CAGUAGCCGCGGGAAUACAGAGGUCCCGAGCGUUGUUCGGAUUCACUGGGCGUAAAGGGUGUGUAGGAGGUUUGGUAAGUCAGGUGUGAAAUCCCGCAGCUCAACUGCGGAACUGCAUUCGAUACUGCCGAACUAGAGGCUUGGAGGGGGAAGCGGAAUUCUUGGUGUAGCGGUGAAAUGCGUAGAUAUCAAGAGGAACACCGGUGGCGAAGGCGGCUUCCUGGACAAGUCCUGACUCUGAAACACGAAAGCCAGGGGAGCGAAUGGGAUUAGAUACCCCCGUAGUCCCUGUCUCUUAUAC
rnacentral:rRNA from 1 species